UAGAUACCCUAUUAUUUUAGAUUUAAAAGUUUAAAUUUGAGUAGUAUUAGAUAUGAUCUUGAAACUUAAAGAAUUUGGCGGUAUUUUAGCCUAGUUAGAGGAGUCUGUUCCAUUAUCGAUAAUCCACGUUGAACCUUACUUAAUAUAAUUUAAUAUGUAUACCGCCGUUUAUUUGAAAAUCUUUUUAGGGCUAAUUUUCUUUAAUUUUUAAUUGAUUUUAAUUCAGGUCAAGGUGCAGUUAAUGAUUAAGUGGUGAUGGAUUACAUUAUUUAUAAAAUAAACGGAUUAAGAUUUGAAAUUGCUUUAUGAAGGGGGAUUUAAUAGUAAUUAAUAAUUAGAAUUAUUGUUGUGAUUUUAGCUCUAAAAUGUGUACACAUCGCCCGUCACUCUCGUUAUUAAGAUGAGAUAAGUC
rnacentral:rRNA from 1 species